UAAUGUAAGAUGAACUUCUCCAAGCCGAGUUAAAAUCUUUUCACAAUCUUGUAUAUGAUCAACAACAUAUGUGCGACAUCCCCUCGUAUCUAAAGUUUCAUCCUUGUCUCCUUCUCUGCACCCUUUUAUAGGAACAUCAUCCAGAAAAGGCAUAGUCUUUUCCGGAAUAAAAUCUCUCAAUACCUUAUUCAUCCCAUUCA
rnacentral:lncRNA from 1 species